UAGCAGCUGCGGGCAGUGCCGGAGAGGCUGCGAGCGCUGAGACCGAGCAAGGAGCUCGGCAGGGCGCGGGGGAUCGGCGGGGCGAAACGUUUCUUCUGAGAAUAGAGCGGUCAAUUGUUGAGUGGCGGUGGAGAUGGAGGAGGCUGUGGGAGAUGAGGCUGAGUUCAGGGGGAGAGAUGGGCUGCACUCCUCUCCUGAUGUCCCUGUGCAACAGGACUCAGAGCAACUGGGGAGAAUGCAGCUCUCAGCCAAAACUGACUCUGAACUCUGUCCACCUCUCAUUGCUCUAAAAAAGGGCACAGAAAGUAAGUAUCGUAGGCUUGGAGGGGUCCUAAAGACAAGGAGCACUGAACUAGAAUCUGCUGUCACAGGAUCAUCUUGGGCUUCUGUUCUUCCGG